GAAAAAGCUUGGAAGGGAAGAGUAUGCCGAAAGGAAGCUUUCAGAGACCCCGGUUGGUGAGAAAGGGGAGCAAAGAGGCGGCAGAAGAUGGUCCCGGAGCUGCGCAGGUGAAAGCGGAAACCGUGUUAGCCUGUGCCGGAAGCGCCCGUUAGCGUGUCAGGCUGUUUUUGACAGCCGGUGAGGGCGAUGACCGUGAGGCACCGCCGAAUUUAAAGUGGUAACACGGGGAAACUCGUCUUUAAU
rnacentral:ncRNA from 1 species